rnacentral:rRNA from 1 species
UACGUAGGGGGCAAGCGUUGUCCGGAUUUAUUGGGCGUAAAGAGCGUGUAGGCGGCUAGAUAGGUCCGUUGUGAAAACUCGAGGCUCAACCUCGAGACGUCGAUGGAAACCAUCUGGCUAGAGUCCGGAAGAGGAGAGUGGAAUUCCUGGUGUAGCGGUGAAAUGCGCAGAUAUCAGGAGGAACACCGGUGGCGAAGGCGGUUCUCUGGGCCUGACCUGACGCUGAGGAGCGAAAGCGUGGGGAGCGAACAGG